rnacentral:lncRNA from 1 species
CUUUGAAAACACAUGCUUUGGACUUAAAAGACAAGUAUUUUGCUUUGUAAUUACAGCACUUUUCAUAGCUGUGUGAUGAGUUGUAGGUCCAUGUUUUUGUUUUCUGAUCUCACAUGCUUCAUUUAUUCAGAUGUAUUAAUGUAAUAUAUGCUUAUAUGAGUAAUUUGCAAUUAUAUGCCUCUUUCUAAUACAGAAUAUUUUUUUUUAGAAAUUCUUGGUAAACACACAGUUUCUAAAUUACAGUGCAAUUACCAUGAAAGUUAGAAAAUGCACAGUGGCUUAAAGAACUCCUCAUCCCAGAAUCUAGCCUUAGAGUUUUCAAAUAGUUGAUGGUCAGUAAAUUUAUAUGGUUCAUAAAGUUAGAAUCUGUUGAAUCUUACAGUAAAGAAAUAGGAAACCAGAGAGGUGCUUCUUCACACAUGCCAAGCUGUCAUUACUGGGAAACCCAAGGAGUCCUACAGGGCAGUCUGUCCCUCUGAUGGAUGUAGUUAUUUAAAAUCAAAGUCCUGCUUUCCUUCCCCAAAACUUUGGCUUUCCUGUGUCAUCUUGUUCUUUGUGUUUCUGUGACCAGAGACGGAGAUAGGUUUAAAAUUAUUUGUUCAUGCUAAGGACAAAAAACAAACAAGCAAAAGAAAAAAAAAUAAAAAUCAACUGAGUUUGUGAAAACAUCAGAAAUUUAAGUACAGUGAUCAGGGUAGGAUGACAUUCCACUGACCUAAAUGUUCCUUUAAGAAAAAUUAGAUUCGGACAUUUCCAUUGUGACACAAAUUGGAAAGGGCAUAUAUGUAUAUAUGUACACAUGUGACACUAAUACAUAAAGAACUAAUGAACACAAAUAUUCCUCCUCUAAACUUUUAAAUUAUAUUCCUGUGUAUUUUUAAUCCAGGAAUGGGAAAUUACUAGCAUGUUCAUUUGAGUUUCAAAAAUAUUCAGUGUGCUUCCAAACCCUUUUAUCAUGAUCCUCUUAUUUGUCAUCUCCUAACUGAGAGUCCAGGGUCCAUAAAUUUUUAAUUUUUUUGAGUUAAAUUGGAUCCAAAGACUUUAUGAGAUAUAUAAGUCAUUUAUGGCAUUGUGAUAUG